rnacentral:rRNA from 1 species
UACGAAGGGUGCAAGCGUUACUCGGAAUUACUGGGCGUAAAGCGUGCGUAGGUGGUUCGUUAAGUCUGAUGUGAAAGCCCUGGGCUCAACCUGGGAAUGGCAUUGGAAACUGGCGACCUAGAGUGCGGUAGAGGGUAGUGGAAUUCCCGGUGUAGCAGUGAAAUGCGUAGAGAUCGGGAGGAACAUCCGUGGCGAAGGCGGCUUCCUGGGCCGCGCCUGACGCUGAGACGCGAAAGCGUGGGGAGCGAACGGG